GAUGGGUAAUCUGAGGUAUAGAUAAAUAAUUUGUUGCAUAUUACACAGCUCAUAGAAGUAGAUCAGGCUAAUAGCUCACAAAGUUGGGUCUAGUAUCUGUUUAUGCCAUUAUGCUGUAUUUCAUUUCUGGGUAAAAUAUCUUGUGGCAAAGACAUAUUUCACAGCCAUCCACAUGGAGGAACUUUGUCUUGCCAACUCCAUUAAGCAUGUGAACAAAAAGUUACAGAAUGUUCAAAGUAAUGUUUCCAUUUGGAAGCAAGGGGACAGAUGGCACUGUCUUAUUUAGUAAGGAAGUCACUGUCACUGAAGGUGUUUGAGCAGAGGUGGGAUGACUUUUGUACUCUUUCAGUUCCUUAGAAAGACUUUAGUUAUUUUCUAUAAAAUAAAAAAUGUAAAUCUUUGCUUUUUGAAAUUUAAAUCAGGUUGAUUACUAAAGGAGCAAACAACUUUAACAUAUCCCCAUAGCAUCCUCAGACAUAAUCUCAUUACACUUACAGACUCAGGAGUCUGAAUAUACAGAAGAACUGCUAGGGGGGAAUUAUUUUUCAGACUGCUCCGACCUAUUGCUAUGGGAACUGAGUGAAUCUCCCAUAAUCCCAUUCCCACCUUAAGAAACAGAAACACCAUUCUUCCCAUCUAUAGAUGUGUUAGUCAGCUUUCCAUGAUUGUAACAAAAUAUCUGAGGCAAUUAACUUAUAAAAAGAAAAGUUUCAUUUUGGCUCAUGGUUCUGGGGGUUCCAGUCCAAAAUUUAGUUGCCUGUUGCUCUGGGCCCCUGGCAAGGAUAGCACUUAAAGGCAGAAGUGUGUGGUGGAGCAAACUACUCACUUAUAGGAUCUAGAAAGCAAAUCCCUAUGAUCCCAUAAUCCCCACAAAUGAGAAGGAAAAGUUUGUUGUUAUUAGUCACUGAGAUUUGGGGGUUGUUUGGUGCUAGAGUAUAAGUAUACUGAAGCUAGUACCAACAGUGGGGUAUUACCAUAAAAAAGCCUAAAAAUAUGUGGUCUUGGUUUAAGAGCCAAUGCCUAAGUGAGAAAACGUAAAAGGUUGCUGGAAAAUUACAAACCCUCCUUAAACAAUAGCACACAUUUGGUAAAAUCGCUGUCCUCAAAACUUGCAUGAAAAGUGUGGUGGGUAAAGAGGUUUUAAGACAGAAUGUUGGCAGCAUGGGUUGGUUAGUUUUAGCUGCAUUUGUUAAAAUACUACAAGCAAGGGAUGCUCAUAAAAUUGGCUUAUUUUCAAGCUAGUAUUGUAGGGAAAAGAAUAUAAAACAAAUUUCAAGACUUAUAAGAUUGAAAGUUGCAACUGUUUUCGUUCAACUUAUGAGAAAAUUUUAAAAUGCCUGAAUCAAAAAGGCUAUUUAAGACAAUGCUGAAUUGAGGGUGUGAUGUUCAGGCCUUCUAGUAAGAUCUCUGAUUUGAUUAUGUGGACCUCAGUAAACUCUUUUAAAUAGACAAAAAAACUCAAGGAAAAGUGACUAAAGGCUCUACAGAAGCCUGAUAAAUAAAAUGUACCUGCAACCAAGUCUACAGAGGAAUAAAAGUGUAUUGGCAGGGAAUGGGGUUGUAGCUUGGUGGUAGAGUACUUGCCUAGCACACGUGAGGCACUGGGUUCAAUCCUCAGCAGCACAUAAAAAUAAAAUAAAGGUAUUUUGUUCACCUACAACUAAUAUAUAUAUAUAUAUAU
rnacentral:lncRNA from 1 species